AUAGCCACCUGCAGUGGUGAUGGUUUCUGUGAAAAAGACAGUUGUUAUGGAAACCAAAGAUCUUCACCAGGAAGUUGAAAUUUUCAGAAAUAACCAUAUUAGUGAUUUUUUCCCUGAAAAGAACUAUUUGCUAAUUGAUAAAUACCAAAAUACAAAAGAUGUGCCUCAAGAGUUUUUUGAUAAGGUGAUACACUGUUAGCUUUACCAUGUACUUUCAGGACACCACAUUUGUAAGCAGAGGUCACCAGCACUCCCCAGUAGCCUCAAAAGUUUUCACUGGCCUAAUGAUGUUUUAGAAGGUCUUUUCUAAAGGCUUUUAGAACCCUGUAAUAUAUUAAUUUAUACACAGCUUCUUUUUUUAAAAUGGAAUCAAUAGCCCUGUGUUACAGCAAUGAUAUAGUCGGGUAUUAGAGCUUCCUUAAUGUUUGCAGCUUAAAUACAUACUUUGAGGAGAAGGGAUCCUCCACAUUUCUAGGUGAAUCACUUAGAACAUGCCACAACAGUGUUACAACUUUUAUGUCUUGGACUUGGUGUAAUAGUACGUGCAACCAGCGCUAUAAAUGAGUUGUUUGAAAUAUAAGUUUUGAAGCUAAAAGUCGAAUGCAUAUGUUAGUUAUAUCAUUGUUCUAAAAUAUAUGUAUUGAACUGUGUUUUUCCUCAACUAAAGAUAUUCCAUAAGAAAUAGUUUCUAAAUCAACAUUUAUCACCUUCAAAUUAAUUUAAGUGGAUUGUCAUAAUUAAUACUGUCUGAUGUAAAUAUACUCACUCAUAAUCGGUAAUAUCAUUUACUCAGUACUUUUAAAUGUUCUCUGUGCUUUGAAGACAAGGUCUCUAUCCUAAAAUACUUACGUUUGCGGGGCACUUGGGUGGCUCAGUCAGUUAAGCGUCUGCUUUCAGCUCAGUUAUAUGGGAUCGAGCCCCACAUCAGGCUCCCUGCUUGGUGGGGAGCCUGCUUCUACCUCUCCCUCUGCUGCUCCCCUUACUUAUAUUCUCUCUCUGUCAA
rnacentral:lncRNA from 1 species